GAUUAACGCUGGCGGCGUGCAUAACACAUGCCAGUCGAACGAUGAAACUUAAAUGAUUUCUUCGGAAUGAACUUAAGUGGAUUAGUGGCGGACGGGUGAGUAACGCGUGAGUAACCUGCCUUACACAAGGGGAUAGCCGUUGGAAACGACGAAUAAUACCCUAUGAAACUAUCACUUCGCAUGAAGCGAUAGUCAAAGUGUUAGCGGUGUAAGAUGGACUUGCGUCUGAUUAGCUAGUUGGUGAGAAAAAAGCCCACCAAGGCAACGAUCAGUAGCCGGCUUGAGAGAGUGUACGGCCACAUUGGGACUGAGACACGGCCCAGACUCCUACGGGAGGCAGCAGUGGGGAAUUUUGCACAAUGGGGGAAACCCUGAUGCAGCGACGCCGCGUGAUUUAGAAGGCCUUCGGGUUGUAAAAAUCUUUUGUAUAGGAAGAAAAUGACAGUACUAUACGAAUAAGGUCCGGCUAAUUACGUG
rnacentral:rRNA from 1 species